rnacentral:rRNA from 1 species
CGCUAGCUCCAUUCUUAACACAUGCAAGUCGAGGGGCAGCACAGUGUAGCAUUACAUGGGUGGCGACCGGCGCACGGGUGCGUAACGCGUAUCCAACCUUCCCGUUACUCUUGGAUAGCCUUCCGAAAGGGAGAUUAAUACAAGAUGGUAUUCAAAUUCCGCAUGUUAUUUGAAUUAAAGAUUUAUCGGUAACGGAUGGGGAUGCGUGACAUUAGAUAGUAGGCGGGGUAACGGCCCACCUAGUCUACGAUGUCUAGGGGUUCUGAGAGGAAGGUCCCCCACACUGGAACUGAGACACGGUCCAGACUCCUACGGGAGGCAGCAGUGAGGAAUAUUGGUCAAUGGUCGGAAGACUGAACCAGCCAAGUAGCGUGAAGGAUGAAGGUUCUAUGGAUUGUAAACUUCUUUUAUACGGGAAUAAAACCUCCCACGUGUGGGAGCUUGUAUGUACCGUAUGAAUAAGCAUCGGCUAACUCCGUGCCAGCAGCCGCGGUAAUACGGAGGAUGCGAGCGUUAUCCGGAUUUAUUGGGUUUAAAGGGAGCGUAGACGGGAUGUUAAGUCAGUUGUGAAAGGCUGCGGCUCAACCGCAGCACUGCAGUUGAUACUGGCGUCCUUGAGUGCGGUUGAGGUAUGUGGAAUUCGUGGUGUAGCGGUGAAAUGCUUAGAUAUCACGAAGAACUCCGAUUG